CUCCCUGCUGUAGACGGUGCAGGUGUAGGUGUUGCUGUCUCUGUCUGUGGGGUGUUUCAGGGUCAGACUGAGGUCUCCAGGUCUCAGCAGGUCUUUCUUCAUCUCUGUUCGGUCUCUGUAAACCUGGUCCUGUUCUUCAGGUCGGUCAGAGCCGUUCUCAUACACAUGGACCUUCCUGUUGAUUCUGUCCGUCCACUCCACUCUGACGUCUUGAGGCAGGUCACCUGUGGUUCUGAAGGGCAGCUGGACAGACUCCACCCCCUCCUCCACCUCCACCUGUUGGACU